GGUGCGGCACGUAAUUUUUUCGUCAACAAACGGGUGAUUGUGCCUGCAGACUAGUGGGGAGAAGUGCUCUGGCUGUUGUUGGGAAUGGGGAAGACGAGCCGGUGUGCAGAAAAAGCCAAGCCGUGCUUUUGGUUUUGGGGCCGUUGUCGUGCUGUGAGGCGGUCCGCUGCCGGUCUCGGUCCUUCUCCGGAACCUCUCGGCUGGUGGGAAGUGGUCGUUGCCUCGGGCCGCGCGGCGCCUCCGGGUUGCCGCCCGGCCCCCGUCUUCCGCUCUCUCCUCUUGGUGGCGUUGGGGUCGGCCCUUGGUUUUUUUUCCCCGGGUGGCGUUCCGCUCUGGGUCCUCUCCUCUCUCGGCCCGUUUUGGGCUCGUUGGGCCGCUGUCCCCUCCCGCCCUCUUUCCCGUCUUUGGGGAUUUCUCCUCGGAUCGAUGUGGUGUCCCUGGUCCCGCGAGGGAGGGCCGUCGGGCAGGCGAUGAUGACUCUGUCGCUCACCCGCCUGUUCCUGGCUCCCGCUGCCCCGCCUGGGGAGGGGGGAGUGGCGGUUCCUGCCCAAGUCGAGUGGACCGGGCCCUGCUCCUAGGGCCGUGUUUCUGCUUUGGCGGCGGCCUCGAACGGUGGGGGUGCUGCGGGUGAGGUUGAGCUGUGUGUGCCGGGGUCCUCCAUCGCGUGAGGUUUCCUGGCCGGCUUUCCUGCCCCCACCCCCUCCUUGCCGAUCGCCUUCCCGCGAUGCCUUCCCGUGGUCGGGCUUGUACGGGGGAGCCUUUGAGUUGCCCGUGACCGACGGGCGGUCGGCUCCCGGGUGCCCCGCUCUGCUCUGGGGUGGCGAAGGAGGAGCCUCGUGCCUUCUCUGUGCGCAUCGCUGUGUGGAGAGAGCGAGAGAAAGGGAAAAGUUCCCCGGUUUGGUCGCGUUGGCCGCGGGUCGCGUGUGUGCCGUUGUUCCGAGUUCUCGGCGGGCCGCCCCCCGCCGCGUUCGUGUGGGUCUUUUCCUGCGCCGGGCCCCCGUCCCUCUGUUCUCGAAUCCCCUCCGGUUCUGUUGGCGAAAGGUGUCUUCUCCGCCAGGCGUUGAGCGCGCUCGUGUGGCUCGUGGGGGGGGCUUCGCGCCCUUCCCUCCCCCCCGCGCCUCCGCCCUUGACUGUCGUGCGGCCACCGAUCGCCCGCCGGAGAAGGAAGGGUCAGAGGGGACGUAUUUUGGGCCUGGUCGGGGCCGCUUGACCCCCGCGCGGCGGACCCUUGUGGGUCCCGUUCGCUCCUCGGCGGCGCUGCGUCCUCGAGCGCCCGCGAUCUCGGCGUUCGGUGGG
rnacentral:lncRNA from 1 species